rnacentral:rRNA from 1 species
AUUGAACGCUGGCGGCAGGCCUAACACAUGCAAGUCGAACGGUAACAGGAAGCAGCUUGCUGCUUCGCUGACGAGUGGCGGACGGGUGAGUAAUGUCUGGGAAGCUGCCUGAUGGAGGGGGAUAACUACUGGAAACGGUAGCUAAUAUCGCAUAAUGUCGCAAGACCAAAGAGGGGGACCUUCGGGCCUCUUGCCAUCGGAUGUGCCCAGAUGGGAUUAGCUUGUUGGUGGGGUAACGGCUCACCAAGGCGACGAUCCCUAGCUGGUCUGAGAGGAUGACCAGCCACACUGGGACUGAGACACGGUCCAGACUCCUACGGGAGGCAGCAGUGGGGAAUAUUGCACAAUGGGCGCAAGCCUGAUGCAGCCAUGCCGCGUGUAUGAAGAAGGCCUUCGGGUUGUAAAGUACUUUCAGCGGGGAGGAAGGGAGUAAAGUUAAUACCUUUGCUCAUUGACGUUACCCGCAGAAGAAGCACCGGCUAACUCCGUG